rnacentral:rRNA from 1 species
AAACUAACAAGGAUUCCCCUAGUAACGGCGAGUGAAGAGGGAAAAGCUCAAAUUUGUAAUCUGGCACCUUCGGUGUCCGAGUUGUAAUCUCUAGAAGUGUUUUCUGCGCUGAACCACAUUCAAGUCCGUUGGAACACGGCGUCAUAGUGGUGAGAACCCAGUAUAUGAUGUGGAUGCUCAGUGCUUUGUGAUACACUUUCGACGAGUCGAGUUGUUUGGGAAUGCAGCUCAAAUUGGGUGGUAAAUUCCAUCUAAAGCUAAAUAUUGGCGAGAGACCGAUAGCGAACAAGUACCGUGAGGGAAAGAUGAAAAGCACUUUGGAAAGAGAGUUAAAAGUACGUGAAAUUGUUGAAAGGGAAACGUUUGAAACUAUACUUGCUUUGCAGUUCGCUGUAUUGCAGGCCAGCAUCAGUUUUUAGGGGCAGAAAAGGGUAUUGAGAAUGUGGCAACCUCGGUUGUGUUAUAGCUCUUUACUGGAUCUGUCCCCGGGGACUGAGGACCGCAGCUUUGCUUAGGAUGUUGGUUUGGUUUUAAACGAC